rnacentral:rRNA from 1 species
UGAGUAACCUGCCCUUAACUCUGGGAUAAGCCUGGGAAACUGGGUCUAAUACCGGAUAUGACUCCUCAUCGCAUGGUGGGGGGUGGAAAGCUUUAUUGUGGUUUUGGAUGGACUCGCGGCCUAUCAGCUAGUUGGUGGGGUAAUGGCUCACCAAGGCAACGACGGGUAGCUGGUCUGAGAGGAUGAUCAGCCACACUGGGACUGAGACACGGCCCAGACUCCUACGGGAGCAG